CUGAUUUUUGCCCCUGCGCUCCGGCGAGUCAGCUCCAGGGACCACACAUUUGCUCAAUAACACGCAUAGACAUUUCCCCUUACUUUUUAGGAGAAAAAAUCUGCGUGUUAUAGAGCGAAAAUUAUGGUAUACACUGCAUUUAAGGUUUGUAGUCCACUCAAGUAUGAGAGCACCUUAACUAUUAACUUUUCUGCUUUAAUAGAAUGGGAAUAAUUUCAAUAAUUCUUGCACUUUGUGACUGACCCGCUCAGAUUAAAGAAGUGUUGCUUUAACAGGACUAGCCCACAUGGUGCCUUCACAGGACCCCUUGAAUAUAUCCUGCUUAUUUGAACUUCUCUUAUGAUGUCUAUUUGUUUUGUUAAUGUAAUUUGUUUUGUAAUGUGAUAUGGGGGGACAUUUCUGUUUAGUCAGGUGAGAGUUGGUUUAACUAUCACUGGAGGACUUUAACUGACAUCUGAGGAGCAGUUGGAGAUGGAACUCUGAGUAUGCAAAAGACAGCUAGAGAGUAUGUCUAUUCUGAUUGGUGGUUGCAGGUUUAGAACAUUUAGUUAGACCAUGUGAUUGGUUGGGGGCUAGACAGGGUAGGGCAUAUAAAGCUGGGUGCUAGUCAGUCUGGGUCAGUCCGUGUUGGUUGGGGCUUGGUGUCUGUGGUGGACAGCCAGAAGAAGACAACAACAGCAGAUGAUCAAGGAAGAAGAAAGGAGACCUGAAAGGAAGGCAAGAGUGGCUUGGUGGCCAAAGUUUUGCUUAGGUAGCUGAAUCUCUUGGCUUAGGCAAGUGAGGGAGAAGAACUGAGAGGAAGUUUGGAGUGUCUGGUAAAAGAACCAAAGGAAGAUUCCAGGACAAUAUCGCAGAAACAGAUCUCUGGGGGCUUCAACAAAAGUCCUCAGUUAACAGCAUUGGUAAGUCUCAAUAGGAGUGGAGUGAAAUAUAAGGACAACCUGGCAAAAGGGUUUUAACAGGAUAACUACUGUAUUUUUUGCUCCAUAAGACAGACGUUUUUCCUCCUAAAAAGUAAGGGGAAAUGUCUGUGCGCCUUAUGGAGCGAAUGCAUGGUCCCUGGAGCCAAAUUGCCCAGGGGCAAAAAGCAGAUCGUGCUUUUUUUUAGAAAGAGGGAAGGGGGUGUUGAAACAAAGCCACUGAGCAGCUGAUCGGCAAGUGACCAGGAGGGAGAUAAGGGACACUAGUGAUAAAGGAGGCUGCCUGGGAGGGGGGAGGUAAAAGCACAUGGAUCCUCAGGA